GAUGAACGCUGGCGGCGUGCUUAACACAUGCAAGUCGAACGGAAAGGCUCCUGCUUGCAGGGGUACUCGAGUGGCGAACGGGUGAGUAACACGUGGGUGAUCUGCCCUGCACUUCGGGAUAAGCCUGGGAAACUGGGUCUAAUACCGGAUAGGACCACAUUUUGGAUGGUGUGGUGGAAAGUUUUUCGGUGUGGGAUGAGCUCGCGGCCUAUCAGCUUGUUGGUGGGGUAAUGGCCUACCAAGGCGUCGACGGGUAGCCGGCCUGAGAGGGUGUACGGCCACAUUGGGACUGAGGUACGGCCCAGACUCCUACGGGAGGCAGCAGUGGGGAAUAUUGCACAAUGGGGGCAAGCCUGAUGCAGCGGCGCCGCGUGGGGGAUGACGGCCUUCGGGUUGUAAACUCCUUUCGCUAGGGACGAAGCGCAAGUGACGGUACCUGGAGAAGAAGCACCGGCUAACUACGUG
rnacentral:rRNA from 1 species